UAUGCCCAACGUGGGUCUUGAACUCACAACCCUGAGAUCAAGAGUCCCAUGUUCUUCAUACAGAGCCAGCCCAGAGCCCCCUUUAACACAGGUGACGUGAAUGUGCCCCCAAUGCAAAACAACCUCUGUGUGUUUUCAGAAGACAUGUCUUCGUGUUGGAGAGAGUGCCCGCAGACCGUCAGCUGUCCCACCACCCCCAAAGGGCAAGUGCACUUAAUCACUCUACAGAAUAGGAUGGCGCAGAGUGACGCUAUGUCCCCUCCAAAUCUACGUCCUAAAAAUGGUAGAUCUCCACCUGGAACGCAGUGUCUUCUCUCAGCUCACUGGCUCUGAAAGAAGCUAACCACCGCGUGUCCUGAGGAUACUCAAGCAGAAUGUGGCAGGGCCCCGGGUCGGGAGCAACGGAACUCCCCAGCUGACAUCGGCACCGGGUUGUCAGACAGGAGAAAUAGCGGUGGGACCCGCAGCCUCUGCCCAUGUCCCGAGAGGCCUCCGGAGAAAUCAGACCUGCUCGCACCUUGACCUUGGAUGUCCAGGCUGCAGAACUGUAAGACCCGCUCAGUGGUAUUCUGUUAUGGCUGCCCCUAGCAGACUGUCACGACAGGGAAAUAUGUACGGUGCCCAGAGAAAGACCUAGAAGGAGACCCAUGAACUGAAAACAGGCUCUGAGAAGGUAGUAGCGUUGGAGAUGCCGAUCAAAGAAAAGUGAUCACUGCAGAGUCGUGGCUGUAGGUUUGUAACUGUUUCCUGAGAAGUUCUUUCAACUUUUCAAAUGUUUGCACAUUUUAUAGUAAAUUGUUGGGGAGGGGGGAAGGACUGAGAAGCCAGCUUCAAGAGUACCCGCCCCACCCGGGACCAUGUGAGCUUCUAAGAAUAAAAAAUCGUGUAUAAUCUCA